AUUGAACGCUGGCGGAAUGCUUUACACAUGCAAGUCGAACGGCAGCAUAGGUGCUUGCACCUGAUGGCGAGUGGCGAACGGGUGAGUAAUACAUCGGAACGUGCCCAGUCGUGGGGGAUAACGUAGCGAAAGUUACGCUAAUACCGCAUACGACCUAAGGAUGAAAGCGGGGGACCGUAAGGCCUUGCGCGAUUGGAGCGGCCGAUGUCAGAUUAGGUAGUUGGUGAGGUAAAGGCUCACCAAGCCGACGAUCUGUAGCUGGUCUGAGAGGACGACCAGCCACACUGGGACUGAGACACGGCCCAGACUCCUACGGGAGGCAGCAGUGGGGAAUUUUGGACAAUGGACGCAAGUCGGAUCCAGCCAUUCCGCGUGCAGGACGAAGGCCUUCGGGUUGUAAACUGCUGUUGUACGGAACGAAAAAGCUCUUACUAAUACUAGGAGUCCAUGACGGUACCGUAAGAAUAAGCACCGGCUAACUACGUGCCAGCCGCCGCCGUAA
rnacentral:rRNA from 1 species